rnacentral:tRNA from 1 species
GGUGGAGUGGCCGAGUGGAAAGGCGGGGGUCUGCAAAACCCUUUACGAUGGUUCAAAUCCAUCCUCACACCU